rnacentral:rRNA from 1 species
GUUGUACAGGAGAGCAAACAAAUGUGCACGGAGCAGUAUAUGUUCAUCCAGAUUCUACAUGAACUUAUAGUGAUUGUACAUGUCUAGAGGGAUCAUGGGCACCAUGAACUUCGGAUGUCCAAGCUAUAUGCCUGCAAUCAAGCCAAGAAAGCUUAGGUGUGCUCAGCAGCCCGCAGUAGUUGCAGCAGACCAGGGAUGACACGAACAUGCUGAUGACGUCCAGGUAGAGCGUGAGUGACAUGGAGCAGCUUGAUGCAUCUCGGGGCCGCGGUCGACGAAGAGUUGGUUCGGCGACCAUCUUCGCACGUGGCCGGCAUGAACCCGACAGGCCAGCAACGUGCCAUGUGGCCAUCAUGGACGUGCAGUCCGUCCAGGUCCUCUGGAGCGGCCUGUCAUGGAUGAGAAAUCGCCACAGGCGCGACCGGCGACGACGAGCUCCUCUGAAUCGACGGCAGGGACGAGAUCCUUCGGCGCGGUCGGCGCGGCCAUGGACAAGUAGUCCAGUACUCGUUGGUGAGUCCUGGAGCGCGGCCGUCGCCGGAGUCCUUGGGCGUGGCCGCCAUGGACGUGUGCGAUAAAAUAACCCUACAGCUACGUACCUGUUCGAGCCCACGAAAGAAGGUUGGGAUUGCACCCGGGAAUAGCUAUUUGGGAUUCAAAGCUAAUGAAAAUGGGAUUAUGUGCUUUGAGAUUAGAGAGGCCACGUGUCAUCCAUCUAACAGGGUCUUACAUGUUGUCCUGUGAGACCCGGUCUCAUAGGAUUUUUUUUCCUGCCCGAGCAGAACAAGCAAGCAUGCAUUAACCAGCUCACCUAACCAAGUCAAUGUGUUAUGGCGACUGAUAGGCGCCGGCGCACCGGCUGGAAAUUUCGGCCGGUCCCGCGUGGGCCGCACGAUCUAGCUGUUGUAGACCGUAUGAUUCCUUCGUCAAUCUUAUAGAAAACGCUGCAGCAAAAAAAGCAGGGGAAAAAGGAAAGAGGAAGGAGACCAGCGCCCGCUCGUCCUCGGCCGCCGCCGACUCACGCUCACCGACAUCGCCCGUUUGCCUCGCCGCAGAUGCUCACCGCCGAUGCUUGCCGCCGUCGCUCGCAAUAAAUAAGCCGUUGACCAAAGCAACUUUUCUCUUGCCUCCGUGUUGCAUCCAUGGUAGCUUCGCGGCGCCGACCGCAACACCGUCCCUCGCCGGUGCUGCCCACCGCAUGUUGCAGCAUCAAUGGUGACGGCGGCGUCGCUUGCAUACAAAGCCGAUGGUAGCAAAAAAAGGAUUGCUGGUUCCAGCAAAAAUCGAAGCCGGUGGAAGAAAAAUUGGGGCUAGUUCCAGCAAAAAUCGAAGCCGGUGGAAGCAGGCUGGUUCCAGCAAAAAUCGAAGCCGGUGGAAGCAAAAUUGGGGCUGGUUCCAGCAAAAACAAAAGACAGUGGAAGCAAAACUGGGGCUGGUUCCAGCGAAAACAAAAGACAGUUGUAGCAAAAAGAUUGUUGGUUCCAUCAAAAAUUGAAAGCGGUGGUGGCAAAAAUUGGGCUGGUCAGCAAAAUCAAGAUAGUAGAGUUGCAUCCCUUUUGUGUCGGAGCUGGAACCGGCAAGUGGCAGAGCUGCAACCGGCUAUAGGAGAGUUGCAAUCGGCGAGCGGCGGAGCUGGAACGGGCUAGGUGUUCUCCUUCGCAGAUGCGCGUCUUCCCGCUCCGCUACACGGCCGCCUGCUUGUUUGAAGCGUUGUGGCAUCGCCGUUGUAACUCCGCGGCCUGUUGGUUGCAGCACACCGCGCACCGGCCGGCGAUGGCUGGCUAACAGCAGGGCGGCUCAUCGGGGCUUCAAGCGGCGCGCGGCGGCUCAGAAGAGAGAGAUU